rnacentral:lncRNA from 1 species
AAACAAACAAAAUGAAUUUGAGAGGUUAUAAGUGUUUGCAAGUGUCACCGUGGAGACCAGAGAAUGGAUUGUCACCAUGGAGACUUGCAUAAACACUGCCUGUAAUGAUUUCCAUGGGGAAUGAGAUAUAGAAGAGAUUUGGGAAGGAGGAUAUAUAAAUGGAGCUGGCAGUGCUGCUACCACCACCUACCACCACCUACUAUCACUUACCACUGCUGGUUACCACCUAUCACCUAUCACCACCUGCCACUGUGUGCCACCACCUACAACCGCCUGCCAUCUCCUAGUAUCACCACCUAUGAGGAUCUACCAACACCUGCCACCACCUAUCACCACCUCUUGCCACCACUAUUACUGCUUCUUCUUGACACCUGUUGUUGUGUUCUACAGGCCCCAAAGCUGUGUGGAAUGGGUUCCCAAUCUCACCAAUAUUUUAAGAGCCAUAGUUCUCUCAGUUUUCACUUUCAGACCCUUCUUACUUUAUUACUUGAGUAUAAAUCCAAACAAGUUAUAUUUUGCAAGUGAGUUGAGUUUCAUAUUUUCAGUAUCCUCAUACUUACCCCUCUAAUCCAGUGACCAUACCCAUCUUAUGCACGUGACUCAUUCUUUGCUUAGGACUGUCUCACUCCCAGAAAUUCCAUAGCUACUUAUACACAUAUACAUGCUAAGCCAGCCUAUGGUUGCAUCACAGACACUCAAGCUAGCUUCAAUUCAUA